AGAGUUUGAUCCUGGCUCAGGAUGAACGCUGGCGGCAUGCCUAAUACAUGCAAGUCGAACGAGAGGAAGGAAAGCUUGCUUUUCUGAAUCUAGUGGCGAACGGGUGAGUAACACGUAGGUAACCUGCCCAUGUGCCCGGGAUAACUUCUGGAAACGGAUGCUAAAACCGGAUAGGUAGCAGACAAGCAUUUGACUGCUAUUAAAGUGGCUUUGGCCAUGAACAUGGAUGGACCUGCGGUGCAUUAGCUGGUUGGUGAGGUAACGGCCCACCAAGGCGACGAUGCAUAGCCGGCCUGAGAGGGCGGACGGCCACAUUGGGACUGAGACACGGCCCAAACUCCUACGGGAGGCAGCAGUAGGGAAUUUUCGUCAAUGGGGGGAACCCUGAACGAGCAAUGCCGCGUGAGUGAGGAAGGUCUUCGGAUCGUAAAGCUCUGUUGUAAGAGAAAAACGGCACUCAUAGGGAAUGAUGAGUGAGUGAUGGUAUCUUACCAGAAAGUCACGGCUAACUACGUGCCAGCAGCCGCGGUAAUACGUAGGUGGCGAGCGUUAUCCGGAAUGAUUGGGCGUAAAGGGUGCGUAGGUGGCAGAUCAAGUCUGGAGUAAAAGGUAUGGGCUCAACCCGUACUGGCUCUGGAAACUGAUCAGCUAGAGAACAGAAGAGGACGGCGGAACUCCAUGUGUAGCGGUAAAAUGCGUAGAUAUAUGGAAGAACACCGGUGGCGAAGGCGGCCGUCUGGUCUGGAUUCUGACACUGAAGCACGAAAGCGUGGGGAGCAAAUAGGAUUAGAUACCCUAGUAGUCCACGCCGUAAACGAUGAGAACUAGGUGUUGGGGGAAUAACUCAGUGCCGCAGUUAACGCAGUAAGUUCUCCGCCUGGGGAGUAUGCACGCAAGUGUGAAACUCAAAGGAAUUGACGGGGGCCCGCACAAGCGGUGG
rnacentral:rRNA from 1 species